GAGAUCUGAGUUUGAUUACCCUCUGAAAUUUUUAUUUACUGAAUUUUUGCCCCAGAACCCUAGCAGUGUCGCCCUUUAUUUUUAACAUAGUUAUAAAUUUUAUAUUUUUCUAUUCAGCAUCUUAUUUUCUCUUUCUUCUUUCCCUAUUGUCGUCCCCUCCCUUUUUCCUCUCUGUUUCUCUCAAUUUUCUCUCUUUUCUUCCUCUCUAUGCCACCCCUAAAAUCCCUAAAUUCUACAAUUGUGCCGCCCCAUUAAUCAUCAACUCUCCUUAUUUCUUAUUUUAUUUUCUGCUCAUCUUAUCUUCUACCCCUAUAACCAAAUUUUGUUGUUAAUUUUUAUGUCAUUGUUGUCGCCCCUUUGAUUCUCUUAUUCUACUCUUUGUUUUUCUUUUUAUUAUCACAAAUUUGAGCAAGUACCAUAAAUGCAGAAUUUUUAUUUUAUUUUCUUUUAGAUUUAUGUCGUUCUAUUCUUAAUUAAGCGGUUGAAUCAAGCUUCUGUCGUGGCCGAUUCUCGCAAGUUCUUUUUUUUUUCUUUUGUUUUGAUUUAUUCAAGAUCCAAAUCAAAACCAUUCAGAUCAGCAAUAGUUUUGGCAAUCUACUCGCAACUUCAUCAUAAGCUAAAUUGAGUACAUAUCUGAGUUGGAUCUAGUUAGAUCUAAAACAUAGACGUUCUGGAAAAGCAAUAGUGUUCGAAUUAACAUAAUCAGAUUCAAGUAUUUCUCGUAGCCUCAAGACUUGAAGUCGGCAUCCAAACUACCGUUUUCGACCCAACAAAGUUUGUAUAUCAUGGUUCAUUUUGGUUUUUUGGCAUAUACCUAUUGGUAUUUUAGUUUAAUAUCUCAAUGGUUAGGUUGUCAAGUUGUAAGCUUAUGUAAAUGUUUAGAAAUCAUGUUUGAAUAUGUUUCUAAAGUUGAUUUGGAGCCUUAAAGUUAAAGGCUAUGAAAAUUUAUGUGUUUUGGUUGGUUUCUGAAAAUAUGAAUGCUAUAAGUUAGAUUGAUUAGUUGAUGUUAGAAA